rnacentral:lncRNA from 1 species
UACGCCACUAACCUGGUGAGAUACGGCAGGAGGAACCCCAGCAGGUGAAAAGGGCACUUUAGUCAGCAUGAUGUUGAGUGCUGGUUGAGCAACACGCCGGGAAGGAGAGGAGCCAGCAUCACUUCUGAUGACACACGAUACUCCCAACAACAAUAAUCCAUCAGUUAUGUUUCUGUGUGCUGGGGAUCACUGCAAGACAUUCCAGAUCCCUUAACUGGCCAGCAGUUUCACAGCAGCAGUGAAGUCUGACAGAUAAGAGUAAUGCUGAUCAACC